CACGUGGGCAAUCUGCCCUGCACUCUGGGACAAGCCCUGGAAACGGGGUCUAAUACCGGAUAUGACUGUCCAUCGCAUGGUGGAUGGUGUAAAGCUCCGGCGGUGCAGGAUGAGCCCGCGGCCUAUCAGCUUGUUGGUGAGGUAGUGGCUCACCAAGGCGACGACGGGUAGCCGGCCUGAGAGGGCGACCGGCCACACUGGGACUGAGACACGGCCCAGACUCCUACGGGAGGCAGCAGUGGGGAAUAUUGCACAAUGGGCGAAAGCCUGAUGCAGCGACGCCGCGUGAGGGAUGACGGCCUUCGGGUUGUAAACCUCUUUCAGCAGGGAAGAAGCGAAAGUGACGGUACCUGCAGAAGAAGCGCCGGCUAACUACGUGCCAGCAGCCGCGGUAAUACGUAGGGCGCAAGCGUUGUCCGGAAUUAUUGGGCGUAAAGAGCUCGUAGGCGGCUUGUCACGUCGGUUGUGAAAGCCCGGGGCUUAACCCCGGGUCUGCAGUCGAUACGGGCAGGCUAGAGUUCGGUAGGGGAGAUCGGAAUUCCUGGUGUAGCGGUGAAAUGCGCAGAUAUCAGGAGGAACACCGGUGGCGAAGGCGGAUCUCUGGGCCGAUACUGACGCUGAGGAGCGAAAGCGUGGGGAGCGAACAGGAUUAGAUACCCUGGUAGUCCACGCCGUAAACGGUGGGCACUA
rnacentral:rRNA from 1 species